rnacentral:misc_RNA from 1 species
GAAAUGCGAUAAGUAAUGUGAAUUGCAGAAUUCAGUGAAUCAUCGAAUCUUUGAACGCACCUUGCGCUCCUUGGUAUUCCGAGGAGCAUGCCUGUUUGAGUGUCAUUAAAUUCUCAACCUUAUUAGCUUUUGCUGAUAAUGGCUUGGACUUGGGGGUCUUUUUGCUGGCUUUCAUUAGUCUGCUCCCCUUAAAUGUAUUAGCCGGUGCCCCGCAGUGGAACCGUCUAUUGGUGUGAUAAUUAUCUACGCCGUGGACGUCUGCUAUAAUGGGUUUGCGCUGCUUCUAACCGUCUCUCGGGACAACACAAAUGACAAUUUGACCUCAAAUCAGGUAGGACUACCCGCUGAACUUAA